GUGGCAAGAACAAUAGAGUAUUGACGACUAUGGUAUUAUAGCUGAUAUUAAGAGACAUAAAGAAUAGCAAUAGAACUAAAGAUGACAAUUUAUCAUUCUAGUUCUACUUUAAGAAUUUUACAAAUGUUAAAAUUAGAAUUUUAUUAUAAAAAAAAAAAGGAGGAAGGAAGAAAGCACAUGCCUCAUGUUUCAAAAUCUGU
rnacentral:lncRNA from 1 species